rnacentral:rRNA from 1 species
ACGGCUCAGUAACACGUAGCUAACCUGCCCUUAGGUCAAGGAUACUCUCUGGGAAACUGAGGAUAAUACUUGAUAAAAGAUGUUCUCUGGAACGAAAUAUCUUCGAAAUUCGAGCCUAAGGAUGGGGCUGCGGCUGAUUAGGUUGUUGUUGGGGUAAUUGCCUAACAAGCCAAUGAUCAGUAAGGGCUCUUAGCGGAGAGGCCCUGAGAAGGAAUCUGAGACACUAUUCCUAGCCUUACGGGGUGCAGCAGUCGGGAAACUUUUGCAAUGCGCGCAAGCGUGACAAAGUGAGCCAGAGUGUUUCUCUUUUAAGAGAAACUUUUGUCAGCUGUAAAAAGGCUGACGAAUAAGGACUGGGCAAGACCGGUGCCAGCCGCCGCGGUAAUACCGGCGGUCCAAGUCGCAGCCAUCAUUAUUGGGUCUAAAACAUCCGUAGCUUGUUUUGCAAGUCUCUUGUGAAAUCUUACAUCUUAAGUGUAAGGCGUGCAAGAGAUACUGCAUCACUAGAGACCGGAAGACGUAGCGAGUACAAUUAAAGUAGUGGUAAAAUACGUUAAUCUUAAUUGGACUAACAAUGGCGAAGGCACGCUACGAGGACGGAUCUGACAGUGAGGGAUGAAGGCCAGGGGCGCAAAACGGAUUAGAUACCCGUGUAGUCCUGGCAGUAAACACUGCACACUAAACAUUAGCGCCUCCUCGAGAGGCAUUGGUGCUGUAGGGAAGCCGAAGAGUGUGCUACCUGGGAAGUAUAGCCGCAAGGCCGAAACUUAAAGGAAUUGGCGGGGGAGCACAAU